CCAACGGGUGGCUGCAGUCGAGAAUCUUCGGCAAUGGGGGAAACCCUGACCGAGCGACGCCGCGUGCGAGAUGAAGGCCUUCGGGUUGUAAAUCGCUGUCAGAGGGGAGGAAAUGCUAGUGGGUUCUCUCACUAGUUUGACCUAGCCUCAGAGGAAGGACGGGCUAAGUUCGUGCCAGCAGCCGCGGUAAGACGAACCGUCCAAACGUUAUUCGGAAUCACUGGGCUUAAAGGGUGCGUAGGCGGCCCGGGAAGUUGGGUGUGAAAGCCCUCGGCUCAACCGAGGAAUUGCGUCCAAAACUGCCGGGCUGGAGGGAGACAUAGGUGAGCGGAACUUAGGGUGGAGCGGUGAAAUGCGUUGAGAUCCUAAGGAACACCAGUAGCGAAAGCGGCUCACUGGGUCUCUUCUGACGCUGAUGCACGAAAGCCAGGGGAGCGAAGA
rnacentral:rRNA from 1 species